AGAGUUUGAUCCUGGCUCAGGAUGAACGCUGGCGGCGUGCCUAACACAUGCGAGUCGAACGGGUGUGGUAUCAGGGAAAAGGGGUUUACUUCUUUGACCAGAUAACACACUAGUGGCGGACGGGUGAGUAACGCGUGGAUAACCUGCCUUAUACAGGGGGAUAACAGGGAGAAAUUCUUGCUAAUACCCCAUAGGUAUGUCUGACGCAUGUUGGACAUAUUAAAGCUUUGGCGGUAUAAGAUGGGUCCGCGUCUGAUUAGCUAGUUGGUGGGGUAAAGGCCCACCAAGGCGACGAUCAGUAGCCGGCUUGAGAGAGUGGACGGCCACAUUGGGACUGAGACACGGCCCAAACUCCUACGGGAGGCAGCAGUGGGGAAUAUUGCACAAUGGGGGAAACCCUGAUGCAGCGACGCCGCGUGAAGGAAGAAGGUCUUCGGAUCGUAAACUUCUAUCAGCAGGGAAGAAGGAAGUGACAGUACCUGAGUAAGAAGCCCCGGCUAACUACGUGCCAGCAGCCGCGGUAAUACGUAGGGGGCGAGCGUUAUCCGGAAUUACUGGGUGUAAAGGGUGCGUAGGCGGUAUGGCAAGUCAGUUGUGAAACCCCCUGGCUCAACCAGGGGCUUGCAAUUGAAACUGUCAUACUAGAGUGCAGGAGAGGAAAGCGGAAUUCCUAGUGUAGCGGUGAAAUGCGUAGAUAUUAGGAAGAACACCAGUGGCGAAGGCGGCUUUCUGGACUGUAACAGACGCUGAGGCACGAAAGCGUGGGGAGCGAACAGGAUUAGAUACCCUGGUAGUCCACGCCGUAAACGAUGAGUGCUAGGUGUUGGGGUCUAAUUAGAUCUCGGUGCUGAAGUUAACGCAUUAAGCACUCCACCUGGGGAGUACGAUCGCAAG
rnacentral:rRNA from 1 species